UACGAAGGGGGCUAGCGUUGUCCGGAAUUAUUGGGCGUAAAGAGCUCGUAGGCGGUCUGUCGCGUCUGCUGUGAAAACCCGAGGCUCAACCUCGGGCCUGCAGUGGGUACGGGCAGACUAGAGUGCGGUAGGGGAGAUUGGAAUUCCUGGUGUAGCGGUGGAAUGCGCAGAUAUCAGGAGGAACACCGAUGGCGAAGGCAGAUCUCUGGGCCGUAACUGACGCUGAGGAGCGAAAGCGUGGGGAGCGAACAGG
rnacentral:rRNA from 1 species